CUGUUCCCUGUCACUCUGACAGAGAGAGGGGCUUCCUGCCAGGAAAGAGUGGUUUCUGGAGCAGACCAAGGAAGGAAACACCGCCCGAAUUCACGGAAGAGGCUGAGGACUCUGGCUGGAAACACGUGGCCGGCUUCUCGCCUCUCUCCUUGCGGCUAUUUGCCCUGUUUCCUGGCCAAGGUAGAAAGAGAACAAGCCAUUUUGCUCAUCAUCAACAAACCUUGACCAAGGAAGUGUCUGCGUGUGCAAUGUGCCAUCUGAACCCUGGAGGCAUAAGCAGUAUGGUCACUUGUCCCAGCAUUGUUGGGAAGUGAAAAUGUAUCCAUGGAAAGAGAGCAGAAAGAUAAGACUACGCCCCGGGGAUAAUGAAAAAGAGAGGACUUGACCGCUGAGGGAUGGAGUUCCAAGGAAGUCAGUCCUUGAUGGGGCCAAGCAGCAGGGGAAGACGGGCGCUAUCAGGCUGGGGACAGAGCCCAAGCCAAGACCCAGGUGUAUGAAUGGACAGGACCUGAGAUGACCCGGUGGGUCAAACUGUCUGACUGUAGAAGAGGAGCUGGGCAGAGAGCAGAGGUCCAGGGACAGGCCAAGGUUUGGAAUGCCAAGGUUUGGAAUUUAGGCUUGGCCCUGUGGGUAAUGGAGAGCUAUCAGUGGGUUUCAAGCAAAAGGGAGAUACCAAGUGCUGUGGCCAGCCAUGUUUCAGGAAGAUUGUUCUUGUCCACCUUUGUUUAUGUCAACCACAUUUAGAAGUAACAAAUGUCUGAUAGGGGGUCAGGUGCGGUGGCUUGUGCCUAUAGUGCCAGCUACUCAGGAGGCUGAGGCAGGAGGAUCGCUCAAGCCCAGGGAUUCAAGGAUGCUGUGAGCUACGAUCACGUCACUGCACUCCAGCCUGGGAAACAGGGUGAGACCCAGUUUCUAAAACAAACGAACAAACAAAUGUCUGAUGGGGAUGCAUCCUCCCAAUAGAAUACUAUUCAACCAUGGAUAAUGUGGGAAUAGAAUAUCUCUGUUGAUGUGAAAAGUUGUCCAAGACAGUUGAGUCAAAAAUAUCAGUAAGCAUAGUAAGAUCUUAUUUUUGUUUUAAAAAUCAUAUGCAUAAGUCCAGGCACGGUGGCUCACGCCUGUAAUCCCAGCAGUUUGGGAGGCCAAGGCAGGCAGAUCACUUGAGGUCAGGAGUUCGGGACCAGCCUGGCCAACAUGGUGAAACCCUGUCUCUACUAAAAAUACAAAAAUUAGCCGGGAGUGGUGGCGGGUGCCUGCAAUCCCAGACACUCAGGAGGCUGAGGCAGGAGAAUCGCU
rnacentral:lncRNA from 1 species